UGUGGGAGCGAGCCUGCUCGCGAUGGCGUAAGACCAGUCGACAUCUAUAUUGACUGACGCACCGCUAUCGCGAGCAGGCUCGCUCCCACA
rnacentral:misc_RNA from 1 species